CACCAGGAGACGAUGGAAGGUCUAUAGUGUUACAGCUCUGACCCAGGAAGUCCCAGGGUCUUGCCUUCCAGAAGGGUCGCGGCUCUUCCCUCCCUCAGUCCAACGAACAGGAGCACGUCACCUCCCGCAGCUCGGGGAGCUGGCCAGGAACGUGUUACAGCCCGUUUCGCUCCUGUCCGCAGCUGGGUGAGGCAGCCAGGAAAAUAUUACAGCUCUUCUCACGCCCGCCAUUCAGCAGGUCCUGACUUCUUGUGUGACAUCCAGAAGAAAGGGGUUACACAGACAGCUGGAGGGUGAGCAAAGUGGAGAAGUUCUCAGCAGAGAGGAGACUGGAGUGAGUUGCCCCUACCCGCAGGUGCCAACUGUAAUACAUCAGUAGCUGAACAGCUCAUUGCCCUCAAGUGUUCUUGCUCAUGCCUGGCUGAGUUAUUGAAGAAAUUGCUCAGAUCUCAAGCCCUUGUAGAUCACUGGUCCUGGCAGAUGUUAUUCCAAACCAUAUUUGAGCAGGGAGAAAAAUCAGUGCACUUGAAGAUAAGACAAUGGAAAUUGAGUCUUGGAAGAAGAGGGAACAGAUUCUGUGGGACACAGCAAACAGACCACCAUGUGCAUUGUGGGAAUCCCCGAAGAAGAAGAAAAAGAAAAUGGAAUAAAAUACUCAAAGAAAUAGUGGCUAAAAACCUCUUAAAUGAAAAAGAUACAAGUACGAACAUUAAAAAAAUUCAAAACACAUCAAAAUGAAAUCAAAGAGACCCACACUAAGACACUUUAUAAUCAAUCUUUUGAAAGAUAAAGACAAAAAGAAGAUCUUAAAAGCAGCAAGAUAACUGACUUACAUACAAGAGAUCAGCAAUACCAUUAUCAGAUUUCUCAUGAGACAUUUUGAAGGCCAGAAGGCAUUGGACCUUGAAAAUCUCCCAAGUGCUGAAAGAAAAAGCAAAAACAAAACAAAAAAACCCACAAAAACAAAACAAAACAAAAUAGCCACAAAAAAUGCUGUCAACCAAGAAUCCUAUAGAAAAUCUGUCCUUCAAAUGUAAGAAAUUAAAACAUUUUUAGAUGAACAAAGCUUUGGGAAUUUAUUACCACUAGACCUACUCUACAGAAAAGUUUCAAGGGACUUCUACAAAAUGAAAUAACACUAGACAGUAAUUUGAAGCCAUAUAAAGAAAUAAAGAUGUCA
rnacentral:lncRNA from 1 species